AUUGAACGCUGGCGGCAGGCUUAACACAUGCAAGUCGAGCGGGGGAAGGUAGCUUGCUACCGGACCUAGCGGCGGACGGGUGAGUAAUGCUUAGGAAUCUGCCUAUUAGUGGGGGUCAACAUCUCGAAAGGGAUGCUAAUACCGCAUACGUCCUACGGGAGAAAGCAGGGGAUCUUCGGACCUUGCGCUAAUAGAUGAGCCUAAGUCGGAUUAGCUAGUUGGUGGGGUAAAGGCCUACCAAGGCGACGAUCUGUAGCGGGUCUGAGAGGAUGAUCCGCCACACUGGGACUGAGACACGGCCCAGACUCCUACGGGAGGCAGCAGUGGGGAAUAUUGGACAAUGGGGGGAACCCUGAUCCAGCCAUGCCGCGUGUGUGAAGAAGGCCUUAUGGUUGUAAAGCACUUUAAGCGAGGAGGAGGCUGCUCUAGUUAAUACCUAGGGAUAGUGGACGUUACUCGCAGAAUAAGCACCGGCUAACUCUGUGCCAGCAGCCGCAGUAA
rnacentral:rRNA from 1 species